rnacentral:rRNA from 1 species
AUUGAACGCUGGCGGCAGGCCUAACACAUGCAAGUCGAACGAGUGGCGGACGGGUGAGUAAUGUCUGGGAAACUGCCUGAUGGAGGGGGAUAACUACUGGAAACGGUAGCUAAUACCGCAUACCUUCAGCUGUGCCCAGAUGGGAUGAGCUUGUUGGUGGGGUAACGGCUCACCAGGGCGACGAUCCCUAGCUGGUCUGGGAGGAUGUCCGGCAAAACUGGAACGGGGAAACGGUCCAGACUCCUACGGAGGGAAGCCGUGGGAAAAUUGGCACAGUGGGGGCAAGCCUAAUGCAGCCAUGCCGCGUGUAUGAGGAAGGCCUACGGGUUGUAAAGUACUUUCGGCGGGGAGGCGUUACCCGCAGAAGAAGCACCGGCUAACUCCGUGCCAGCAGCCGCGGUAAUUC